rfam:Photobacterium sp. 13-12 C1735, whole genome shotgun sequence.
CUAACGCAGUAGUGAUGCUGCGUGACGGGUGGUAAGAAGUCAGCAGAAGGCAUAGUACCUUGAGGAAGUACAACUCAAGGGAAGGCC